rnacentral:rRNA from 1 species
AGCAGUAGCCGCGGGAAUACGUAGGUGGCAAGCGUUGUCCGGAAUUAUUGGGCGUAAAGGGCUCGCAGGCGGUUUCUUAAGUCUGAUGUGAAAGCCCCCGGCUCAACCGGGGAGGGUCAUUGGAAACUGGGAAACUUGAGUGCGGAAGAGGAGAGUGGAAUUCCACGUGUAGCGGUGAAAUGCGUAGAGAUGUGGAGGAACACCAGUGGCGAAGGCGACUCUCUGGUCUGUAACUGACGCUGAGGAGCGAAAGCGUGGGGAGCGAACAGGAUUAGAUACCCCUGUAGUCCCUGUCUCUUAUAC